rnacentral:rRNA from 1 species
UACGAAGGGGGCUAGCGUUGUUCGGAAUUACUGGGCGUAAAGCGCGCGCAGGCGGUUCUUCAAGUCAGCGGUGAAAGCCCGGAGCUCAACUCCGGAAUUGCCAUUGAAACUGUGGAACUUGAGGAUGAGAGAGGUGAGUGGAAUUCCCAGUGUAGAGGUGAAAUUCGUAGAUAUUGGGAAGAACACCGGUGGCGAAGGCGGCUCACUGGCUCAUUUCUGACGCUCAGGCGCGACAGCGUGGGGAUCAAACAGG